UCCUACGGGAGGCAGCAGUGGGGAAUAUUGGGCAAUGGGGGAAACCCUGACCCAGCAACGCCGCGUGAAGGAAGAAGGCCUUCGGGUUGUAAACUUCUUUUAGUAGGGACGAAGAACGUGACGGUACCUACAGAAAAAGCAACGGCUAACUACGUGCCAGCAGCCGCGGUAAUACGUAGGUUGCAAGCGUUGUCCGGAUUUACU
rnacentral:rRNA from 1 species